CAGCAGACACAUUCCAGCCAAUCAGCAGCAGACCCUCCCACACCCUCCCAUCUUCUGGACAGCAUCCAUUGUGAAGCUGCAUUCUUACUGAGCUGUCCAGGAGGUGGGAGGGUGUGGGAGGGAGGGUCUGCUGCUGAUUGGCUGGAAUGUGUCUGCUG